GUUGUAAGGGGGUGGUCCCUUGGCAUGGCCUUGGAUGUGGCCGGGCCAGGCUCCCGGGGUCCCCUCUCGUGGUUUAUUCUAGCCCUAUCGCUUUCGUUCCUCCCGCUGUCUCCGGCCCCGCCCCUUAUAUAGUGUGGGGCACCAUCGGCGUGGAUGGCCCCACCUUCUAUGUCGGGCAGGAUGCCAUGCCCUUGCUUAGCCCCGCCUCCUCCCAGCUGCGCUGCUACUGCCAAGCAGGCAAGGCAAUGGGUCGGGCCUGCCUCCCAUUAGGCGUACCAGGUCGUGGAGGGUUCUGAGGCCCCCCAGAACACCGGCGCCCCGUCACAACAGUGAAUAUAGAUUCAAAUGAGUGGCCAGAAAUCCAAGUAUCAAGACAGUAUUUUCUCACCCUAUUGUGUAACAUCCACUGGAUUUCAACCUUUUUUCAUUGGCGGACCCCUAAAAACAUUCCGAAGGAGGUGGUAUGGACCCUUUUAGAAAUCUUAAGAGGCUCUAUGGACCACAGGUUGAAAAGCACUGGUCUACACGUAUACUUUGUUUGAGAGAGAGACUCACUCACUCUUUUUUCUUUCCUCCUUCCUUCUCUUUUGCUCUGUUUUUAUAUCAUUUUCCCAGACUGUUGCAGAGAUGUGUAUGGUAAUGCUGGCUGUGCUUGCAAUUUAACACGAAGUCUGGAGUAGGAGGUGCUUUCAGGACAACAAAAAUCCC